UUGCCAGCCCGCUCAAGAAACUCAAAGGAAGUUGACGGGGGCCCGCACAAGCGGUGGAGCAUGUGGUUAAUUUCGAUGAUACGCGAGGAACCUUACCUGGGCUCAAAUGUAUGUUGACGUAUUCUGAAAGGGAUACUUCUUCGGACAAUAUACAAGGUGCUGCAUGGUUGUCGUCAGCUCGUGCCGUGAGGUGUCGGGUUAAGUCCCAUAACGAGCGCAACCCCUAUCAUUAGUUGCCAUCAGGUCAAGCUGGGGACUCUAAUGAAACUGCCUACGCAAGUAGUGAGGAAGGUGGGGAUGACGUCAAGUCAUCAUGGCCCUUACGGCCUGGGCUACACACGUGCUACAAUGGUCGGUACAAAGGGUUGCCAAGCCGCGAGGUGGAGCUAAUCCCAUAAAACCGAUCGUAGUCCGGAUCGCAGUCUGCAACUCGACUGCGUGAAGUCGGAAUCGCUAGUAAUCGUGAAUCAGAAUGUCACGGUGAAUACGUUCCCGGGCCUU
rnacentral:rRNA from 1 species